CUUUACAAAAAAUAUGCAUUAUUAUUUUUAUAACAAUAAUGGAUACUGUACUAAAAUUACCGUGGCUAGUUACUAGAUGGCGCUAUCACAGGCGUUCCGAAAAAAAUUAGAGUAGCCUAUCUAUUUCCAAUAAUACAUUGUAAUCUUUGGACAGACCUUCAUUUGUGGUCUGUGAUGACAGACGACAGCAGGGGGGGGACAGUUCCAUACAUUCUGAGCAAUUUGUUGACUUACAGGCCAUCUAGAUAUAGUAGUGAAACAACUUUUCGACUAAGUUGGUAAAAAUAUCUCAACAGAUGGCAGCAAUUCCAUCGCUAAUCUUAGUGUGCCCAGUAUUUGCAACCAUUUCGUAAUAUUUAAUAAUUUUAACGAUAAUGAAAAAGAUAGUAACUCUGUAAUAAUCUCAUAGACCACUACAUAAAAUAUAUAUUUAAAUCGUUUUGCAAAUCAAACUUCUUCAUUUAAUAAAAUAUGUGACGCAUAAGUUAACAUAGAGUGUUUGGUUAGUUUUUUGGCAACUACGCAACAAUAUUAACUAAAUGGCUAAGAUGAUAUGAAGUAAUAAUCUUUAUAUUAUGUCCGGGAACAAAAUAUUUAUAGUAUGUGAUAUUCAUGGGAAGGCAAAACAUGGAGCAGUGGCGUUUUUCUUCCAAGCCAUUUUCCAGUCCUGAAUGCGUUUGAUAGCAAAUAAUGUCUGCAAAUUAGUUACGACUUCAUAUACUUUUCUAUAUUUAUUAAUUAUUUUUUUAAAUAAAAAUAUUUUGACUCCUCAGUUUUGUCCGAUUGCCCGUGAAUAUUACUUAAACAGUUUUUACAGUAUGAUCAUGAAUUAAAUUGUGUUGGUUGCGAUUGUAAGAUAAUGGGUAUAACAAAGUAAGCGUAUAUUAAUUUCAACAUGGCCAAUUACUGUCAUCUGGGCCUAAUUGUCUAACGGAGUUCAUUGAUCGUAAAGUUCAUACGAUCGGCUACGAUCAACGAUCAAUCGUAACUUUACAUUGGUAUUGUCUAAUUUAGUUCAUUAUAUGAAGACCGGAUGGUGAACGAUGAACUGAAAUCAUUCAUGAAGAUUGCGUAUUGUUUAUGCAAAACGAUAGUGAAACUAUCGUUAAUAAUAUUAUCAAAUUUAAGUCAAACUCCAUAAUAAUGCAUAUAUUUUAACAAAGUUUUAUGUUUUUUGUUUAAAACAUUAAAGAAGCAUUAAAUUUCACGAAAAAUAUCUACUAUUGAAGAAAAUAGCGUGAGAAAAUGGUACAUGCAACUCAAGUAACAAAACGCAAUUAACGAAUUUAACCAAGGGCUAUUUGGACUAUUUGGUAAUCUCCCUGUUGUCUGUGUAGGCUAGUGUCAAAAUAACGGGGUAUCCUAUUAGUCUGUGGUGAAACAUAGCAUAUUAAUAACCUGUGGAUUGGAAAUUUUAAUUUAACAAAACAAAACAAAAUUUUUAUUUUUCAGGUUUUAAAGAGAAUUUAGAAAUUGAGCAAAGUUUUACUAAAUUAUAGUGAUCUUAGGAGCAAAGUUUACUUCGUUUGUGUUAUUGUUAAUCAAAAAUAUAAAAGUAAACAAAAAAGAAAACUACCUCUAUCUAAUUUUGUCGAUGUCCAUUUCUUAUGAAGUUUCUCAUUAAAACAACCCUUAACUCAGGCAAGGCAGGGCUAAGGUGGUUAGCGUAACUACAAGUGGUUAACUUACAGUUAGCCAACUGAAGAACAAUCAACAAUGCCCGAUUAAUAAGUGAUCGCGCUGCUUGUCUACUACAUGUCCCUGCACUAGUUAUAGCAGUAAUUUCUUUGUUGGGAAGUAUUUAGCACAUCCGGGCUGCGCAAAAGGAGAGGACUAAAUUGAUUAUUAUGAACAGACCAUUAUGAUGAUCCACUGAUAUUGACUCAAAGACAUGAAGAUGAGUGCUUUGACAACAAGACUGACUAGCUGAGCCAGUUUAAGAAAAAUGUGGUGUGUGUGUGUGUCUAAUUCCAGGAGCUCUCUAUGUCAGCCAUCCAUCUAUACUCAUUUUUGUUAAUUAUAAAAUAAAUUUGAUUAUUUAGUAUGUAACUUCAUUGUACCUAUCCUGCUAGCUGUUAGAAAGAUAGCAUCUGUAAUAAUUUAUUUACGGUAAAACAUAUUUAUAAAUAAACAUGCUUUAACAUUUAGGUAUGGCCAAUAUGUUGUCAAGUACAGUGGGCAGGGCUGAAUCCAUGAUCCCUCAGUGUCUAGUCUGGCCCCUUUAUGGAGUAGCUAGUUAGGCUUUAGCAGAUUUAUAUUCUAAUUUGGUAAAACUCGUUUUUCUGAUUUAAGAAAAUAUACUAAUCAUCAAAACAGUGUCUGCAAGUACUGUACAGGCCUACUAUUUGGAUGAGAAGUAUAUAUUUGAUUAUUUUUAAGCUUGUGCUGUGUGGUUUCAGGGUUUAAAAAAUGUCUAACUGAAAGUCUAUGUUUACUGUAUUUAUUAUUAUUAUAAUAAAUAAACUUAAAAAAUC